rnacentral:rRNA from 1 species
GAUGAACGCUGGCGGUAGGCCUAACACAUGCAAGUCGAACGGCAGCACAGGAGAGCUUGCUCUCUGGGUGGCGAGUGGCGGACGGGUGAGGAAUACAUCGGAAUCUACUCUGUCGUGGGGGAUAACGUAGGGAAACUUACGCUAAUACCGCAUACGACCUACGGUUGAAAGCAGGGGACCUUCGGGCCUUGCGCGAUUGAAUGAGCCGAUGUCGGAUUAGCUAGUUGGCGGGGUAAAGGCCCACCAAGGCGACGAUCCGUAGAUGGUCUGAGAGGAUGAUCAGCCACACUGGAACUGAGACACGGUCCAGACGCCUACGGGAGGCAGCAGUGGGGAAGAUUGGACAAGGGGCGCAAGCCUGAUCCAGCCAUACCGCGUGGGUGAAGAAGGCCUUCGGGUUGUAAAGCCCUUUUGUUGGGAAAGAAAUCCAGCUGGCUAAUACCCGGUUGGGAUGACGGUACCCAAAGAAUAAGCACCGGCUAACUUCGUGCCAGCCGCCGCUGUAA